AAUGGACGAAAGUCUGACGGAGCGACGCCGCGUGGAUGAAGAAGGCCGAAAGGUUGUAAAAUCCUUUUGUUGGGGAAGAAUAAGCGUGGGAGGGAAUGCCCGCGUGAUGACAUGAACCGACGAAUAAGUCCCGGCUAACUACGUGCCAGCAGCCGCGGUAACACGUAGGGGACGAGCGUUAUUCGGAAUUACUGGGCGUAAAGGGCAUGUAGGCGGCCUGAUAAGCCUGGCGUGAAAGUCACCGGCUCAACCGGUGGAUUGCGUCGGGAACUGUUGGGCUUGAGUCAUGGAGAGGAAGGCAGAAUUCCUGGUGUAGGGGUGAAAUCUGUAGAGAUCAGGAAGAAUACCAGUGGCGAAGGCGGCCUUCUGGCCAAUGACUGACGCUGAGGUGCGAAAGUGUGGGGAUCAAA
rnacentral:rRNA from 1 species